rnacentral:rRNA from 1 species
AUUGAACGCUGGCGGAAUGCUUUACACAUGCAAGUCGAACGGCAGCACGGGGGCAACCCUGGUGGCGAGUGGCGAACGGGUGAGUAAUACAUCGGAACGUGCCCAAUCGUGGGGGAUAACGUAGCGAAAGCUACGCUAAUACCGCAUACGACCUGAGGGUGAAAGCGGGGGAUCGCAAGACCUCGCGCUAUUGGAGCGGCCGAUAUCAGAUUAGCUAGUUGGUGGGGUAAAGGCCUACCAAGGCUACGAUCUGUAGUUGGUCUGAGAGGACGACCAGCCACACUGGGACUGAGACACGGCCCAGACUCCUACGGGAGGCAGCAGUGGGGAAUUUUGGACAAUGGGCGCAAGCCUGAUCCAGCAAUGCCGCGUGCAGGAAGAAGGCCUUCGGUUGUAAACUGCUUUUGUCAGGAAGAAAUCUUCUGGGCUAAUACCCCGGGAGGAUGACGGUACCUGAAGAAUAAGCACCGGCUAACUACGUGCCAGCAGCCGCGGUAAU